rnacentral:rRNA from 1 species
GACGAACGCUGGCGGCGUGCUUAACACAUGCAAGUCGAACGAAGAGCGAUGGAAGCUUGCUUCUAUCAAUCUUAGUGGCGAACGGGUGAGUAACGCGUAAUCAACCUGCCCUUCAGAGGGGGACAACAGUUGGAAACGACUGCUAAUACCGCAUACGAUCUAAUCUCGGCAUCGAGGAUAGAUGAAGGGUGGCCUCUACAUGUAAGCUAUCACUGAAGGAGGGGAUUGCGUCUGAUUAGCUAGUUGGAGGGGUAACGGCCCACCAAGGCGAUGAUCAGUAGCCGGUCUGAGAGGAUGAACGGCCACAUUGGGACUGAGACACGGCCCAGACUCCUACGGGAGGCAGCAGUGGGGAAUCUUCCGCAAUGGACGAAAGUCUGACGGAGCAACGCCGCGUGAGUGAUGACGGCCUUCGGGUUGUAAAGCUCUGUUAAUCGGGACGAAAGGCCUUCUUGCGAACAGUUAGAAGGAUUGACGGUACCGGAAUAGAAAGCCACGGCUAACUACGUG